rnacentral:lncRNA from 1 species
CUUGGCCCAUUGGUUGAACAAGGGUUAAUUAAUGCUUCUACACCCAGAGGUCUGGGGUUCGAGUCCCAGAUACUGCGAUUUAUUAAUAAAUUUGCAGAUUAUUAGAGGCAAGUGUGCAGGAGAUCUCCAGCGAUGUACAAUUAUAGCCGUUCGCCAGGAUUCUACGCAGAGAGGAAAAGUGUCCAUCAAGAGCAUAAAGAAGGAGGUGAGUAUGAAGAAGAAGGUGAAGAAGGUGUCGUCUGUCGUGGAAUUGUCCGUUGUAGAAUCGUCUAUGUAACAGUUAUCAUAAUUUGCAAUUAAUAAUAAAUCCAGACGUUAAAAAAAAAAAAACCAAAAUGAACCUUACUUUGGUUAAAAUCAUGUGAUUUCAAUUAUAGUUAGCUAUUGUGAAGAAUAAUAUGGCACUUUACAAGUUCCGGAGAUUAGUUUAGAUUUCAGCUCAGAUUUCUUGGUUCUUUAUAAAAUUUGGUAAGAAUUAACACUU